GCAGGGCAUCUUCGUCUCCCGCAUUGCCGAGGGUGGUGCUGCCCAUCGAGCAGGCUCGCUGCAGGUUGGCGACCGUGUUCUCUCGGUGAGUGGGAUGGGCAGGGCCUGCUCAGUGCCUUGUCCUGCCCACCCUUUCUCACCUGAGUGUCCCUCACAGAUCAACGGGGUGGACGUGACUGAGGCCAGGCAUGACCAUGCUGUGUCACUGCUGACUGCUGCCUCCCCCACCAUCGCCCUGCUGCUGGAACGGGAGACAGGGGGACCCCCUCCCUCCAGCACCCCCCCACUUUCCUCCCCAACUCCCACUGUUGCUGCUGCCACCACCACGACCACUGCUGCCCCUGGAGAGCCUGGGCUGCCCAGGCUGGCCCCUGCUCUCCUGGCUGCUGCCCUAGAAGGACCGUACCCAGUGGAGGUGAGCCUCCAGCUGCCCCCUGCCAGGCAUCCGCUCAGCUCUGCUGUGGGUGUGCACUCUCCCAGAGCCCCUGCUCAUGGCCCUGCAGCCACUCUGGGCAGAAAGGAACUUGCACAUUUUUCCCCAUGUGCCUGAGAAACGGAGCCCUCCUCCACGAGGUGACUCCUUGCUGUGGUCCACCUGCCCCACACCACCUCCCUGCCAGGCCACCCAUGAGGACACAGGCUUUAGCUGCAUGGGUGUCUGGGCAGUGGGGUUUUGCAGAGGCAAUGGGAAUCCCUGCAGGUGCCUGGGGCUCCCCGAACUCUGUUCCCAACCACAGAGACCAGCAGUUCCCCUACUUCUUUCCACUCUUUCCCUUCUCUGAGGCCUGUCCCAUGUCCCCAGGAGGUUCGUCUGCCUAGGGCUGGGGGCCCCCUGGGGCUCAGCAUUGUUGGGGGCUCCGACCAUUCCAGCCACCCGUUUGGUGUCCAGGAGCCCGGCGUAUUCAUCUCCAAGGUAGAUAGAGGCCCUGGUGGGUGGAUCUGGACAGAGGGGACCUAUCCUGCCCACCCUGGGGGGCCCACCGGCUGCUGCCUUCCUCUUCAACAGGUGCUCCCACGCGGCCUGGCCGCUCGCUGUGGCCUGCGGGUGGGGGACCGCAUUCUGGCAGUAAAUGGGCAGGAUGUUCGGGAGGCCACUCACCAAGAGGCGGUCAGUGCCCUGCUCCGGCCCUGCCUAGAACUGUCCCUGGUGGUGCGGAGGGACCCUCCACCUCCAGGCAUGCGGGAGCUCUGCAUCCAGAAGGCCCCUGGGGAGAAGCUGGGGAUCAGCAUCCGUGGGGGUGCCAAGGGCCAUGCAGGGAACCCCUGCGACCCCACAGACGAGGGCAUCUUCAUUUCCAAGGUAAGGACCCUGCCCUUCUGCUUCUGUGGGCAGGUCCCAGUUCAGAGUCUCAGGUGGGUCUCUCCACAGGUAAGCCCUACGGGGGCAGCCGGGCGUGACGGCCGGCUGCACGUGGGGCUCCGGCUGCUGGAGGUGAACCAGCAGAGCCUGCUGGGCCUGACACACGCAGAGGCCGUGCAGCUGCUGCGCAGCGUGGGUGACAGCCUGACCGUGCUCGUCUGUGAGGGGUUUGACACCAGUGCCACCACAGCCUUGGAGGUUAGUGACCACUCUGGGGACCAGGUGCUGUCUCAGUACUGUCCCAAAGGGUUGUAAUGAGCUGACCCUUGUGUGGGCUGGGCAGCAGAGCCUUCCACAGUCUGAGCCAGCUGUAGGUGGGAGCUGUGGGCAUACCCCAUGCCAGACUGCUUUCUCUCCAGAGCCCUGGCCACUGUGCCUUCUGGAGACUCCUGCCUGGGCAGGAUGAAGCACUAAAAGCUUGUGAUGUAUCUGGGCAGUGGCAGGAUCUGGUUCUUUGAGAAGAGGUCCAGCCAUAGGCCUUGGGCAGGGAGCACCUGAGUGGGCGUGGUAGGUGGCUGACAGGGAGCUGUGACCUCCUGUUCUCCCUGGCCCAGCCUGACCCCAGGGUCUCUGGUGGCCUGUCAUCAGAGUUCACCCCCCACCAUCUUAUCUGACUGCUCUGUGCCUCAGAGCAAGAGCUCAGACUGGGGCAGAGACGCAGAUGGGGCGUCAGCCACCUCCCAACACUUGCGGAGAGGAGGGACCAGGGCUAGGCCCAGGAACCUUGCGUCCUGGACAGGCUGUCUUCAUCCAGUGGUUUCAGCCCUCUUGUCUCCCACCAGCUGUCAGUGAGGCCCCUCAGCACCAUUGCCUGAAGGCCCAAACAGGCCUCCAGAAGAUUUUUACCUGCAGUAACCACCAGCUUUGCCCAAAGAGCACCCUUGCUGGUCACAGUGGUCUGUGGGACACGGUGCCGUGUCACCACUCUGCCUGGCUUCCACUUCUUGCCCUGGUUUCUGGGAUAGUCAGCCACCCUGGGUUGGCUCUUACAGUGGAUCUUUGGGAUGGUGACUUCCUGCCAGAUGCCAGCUAAAAAGACACCACUGGCUGAGAGCCACAGACAGCACCUUCUCGCAGGCCCCUCGAGGGCCUGCCCUGUGGGAAACCAUGUGUCUUCAUCCCAGUCGCCACAGCGGGACUUGAGCUGGCCAUCCUCCCCCUUUGCUGUCCACGAGGGAGCGCUGGUAGAUUGGGGAAUGAGUUUCUCUAUGCCUGAGUGGUCUGGUUCCAAAAGGCGUUUUGCCUUUUCUUCACUGAUCUUAAAGUGUACAUUUAACGGAUGUUGUCCAAGACAUUUAUUUAUUUCAGACUUAGAGAAAGGACACCGGGGGGAAGGGUGCGAACUUCCACCAGAGUAGGACUGGCUUGCCCAGGUGACGCCAGGCCUGUGUUCCCUCACCUGGCGUCGGCUCCUCUGGAGGGUCACAGCUAAAGUCUGGGCAGGUGUCCUCCACAGCUGAGGGCAGAGGGCCCUGAGCAGGGCCAAGAGCCCCUGGACCUCUGCCCGUGGGAGCUGAGUGCUUUCCCUGGGAGUGUCGGGACUCCUCGGGACCUGAGGCUGCUGUCACCCGGCAGGUGCCCACCCACCGUCCUUGGGCACAGGUGACCCACGUGUGCUCUGUAGCACAUAGCUGUGUUAUCUUUGUUUCCUUUUUAAAAUUGUGUAUUUUAGUCACAAAAAAACUAUGAUUUUUAUCAAGUUGUCUGGAAAACUCUGCUUUUGCAGAUCAUGGAGACGUGGCCCUGUUUUCUGCCAGCACCUCUGUGCUUUUCUUAAACAUGCAGCCUGUGUCCAUCUGGAGUUGUUGUUCAAGGGGAGGGCCGUGUGCCCUGACUGGCCCUGACCUUCGUCUCCUGCUGACCUGGGGGAGAUGCGACUGCGCUGUGUGCUCAGCCCCAGGUGUUCCGAGGCUUGACUCGGGGCUAGGUCCCCGUGCCAGCUGCAUACUGCCAUUUUACAUUACAGCGUGUCCCAAAACCUCAUCACCCACGUCACUCGCUCUUUUGUCUCCUUGAGAAGUGCUGUGUGUUGUGUUUUGCUUCUGAGUGAAUCUGCCAGGCUCCAUAACAGGAAUUGGUUGGGGCCCUGGUAUUUGGGGCGAGUUAUUCUCAAGCAUAUUCCUAGGUUGCUCUUGUUCUUGGUUCCCGUAAACCCUGGCCAGCUGCUGCUGUGCUUCCAUGGCAGAAGCCCUGUGGUCUACAGCAGUGACACGGGGCCUCCUUCCCGGUGCCUGGCUGAUGGACUGUUUCAUUCCCUAUGCAGCGUUUGCUGUAGUUUCUUUGUGGUCCUUGCUGUUUGUAACGGACAAGUUGAGUCUUCUGAAGUGGUCUUCACAUUGGUGGGCUCAGUUGGCUGGUUGGCCCACCGAGGUGCCAGCCCCAUGCGUGGCACUCAAGAGAAAGAGGAGCCCACAUUGAAACCCAGGACUCCACAGCAGCGUCUGGAUUCCUGGCUUCUCACGAAUCUCAAAGGACCCUGCACAGCUGGCCCUUGUCUACCAGGACUCUCUGACACCCCCCCCCCGGAAUGGGACAGGUAUUUGUCCUCACCCUCACAAUUUUUCCUAAACUGGGCCCACUUGAGUCAUCUUGGCCUCACACCUGUGGCAUCAGUUUGCCUGCCACAUGCCCUGCCAGCUGGUGAGUGGCAUAUUCCCGCCUCCCCCGUGUUCUGAACAGUGGCCGAGCGUGUGCUAGAACUUGCCUGGCCUGUGAUCUAGGGCUGAUGCAAUUUGAGGGCUCUUGCACAGUUUGGAUAAAUGCAGGGUCUUGCUAGCCGCCAGGCCUUGGGCAGGUACUGGGCUUCUACUCCUGGUCUCUGUCUGUAGAGGGGCAGUGGUAGGGCCUGCCUCAAGAGGGACAGAUAGCCCAGCAGCUCAGCAAGCACCCACCUGACCACCAUCGUGCCAGACCCCUGAGCAGGCUGCUCCAUGUGGACUUGGAUACUUCUCCCUUGGCUUCCUGUGCGUCAGGUGCAGAGGACUCGCUGCCGCCUUUCUCUUCCUCUGGAGUUAUCUGCAGACCUACGGUCUACCUUACAUUCAGCCACUGGCCAAAGUCUCCCACACCGACGGUCCCUGGCCAUGCAGUCUGACAUAACGAUCUUUCAGCUUUCCGGUGUUGCAGAGGCAAAGGGCAUGUGGUCACAACUACAGUUUGAAUUUGGAUUUGGACUUUCUGGGCUGGAGGUUCUCUGUGUGUGUGAAUCUCCUGUUUCUCAUCAGGCUUCCCCGCCAGCUUGAGCCCCCGCUGAUGGUGCCUGAGCGAGGGCUGUCGUGGCUGCUGAUCCCUCGGAGGACAUACUGUCCCUUGCCAUGUUUGUGUUACAUACUUGUCCAUCAGUGCAUGGUUCCGCUUAUUUCAUGAGUGAUCGUUGUCACAGUUUAUGUUGGUGCUCAGGUUGUCUCAGCCUUGGCUGGGAAGGCACUUGAGGCAAGGCUGGGUCCUUUGGACGUCACCUGCCCUCUCCAGCACUUUCUUCUUCACUCCAGGUGUCUUAGCUGGUCUCCCUCUUUCCUGCCCAGCCCUGGGGUAGCUGUUUCUCGCAAGCACUGGUUCCUUCAGGGAAGGUGAUGUUGAGAAGCCAGGGUGUGACCUCUGAGUGGUGCUUGGCUUUCGGGGCGUGUGUUCUUUGUGUGUCCAGUGGCCAGCAGUUGCUGCCUUCCAUUAUUUCUGGACCUGCAGGCUGCUGAGCUCCCACCUUUGCAGGCAGCACCACAGGUCAGCCCUUCCAUAUUUGAGCAGCCUUCUCGGAUGUGGGAUUCUCUCUCAGUCCUUCUGUAUGUGAUGGUCCUUCCCACCCCACAGGGCCUGCUGCCUCUCUUGGGCCAGCCCUCCAAAAGGUUGAGGAGCAGGGUUCUGCUGCUUGACCGCCAGCGUUGUCCAGAUCCGAGCCACGGAGCGAGCCACGGAGCCCUGUACUGGUGUUCUGUCCAGAGCUCAUGCUCCUGGUGGUCUUGGUGGUCUUGUUUUUAGAAACAACACAGCUGAGUUUGUGUUUCAGCCUACAGGGAGUGUCCCUCCAUGGUGGGGACCUGCCCGUGGUCAGGGUGGUGGUUGGUGCCUUCUUUUGCACCGUGCUGCCAGCCCGCUCCUCCCUGUUCUGCUGUCGGUGGCAGAGCCACAUGGUUCCUUUGGUGCCUUGUGGAGUGGAAGUGAGCUCUUGCUCCUGUGUGUCCGUUGCCUGUUCAUCCUUGACCCAAGCUCACUUGGGAGGGCCUCCCCUGCCCUUGCCCUGCUCCUGGGCUCAUGCACCCAGCUUCCUGCAGGCCCCUCUCCUUCAGACUGCAGUCUCUGGGUCCUGACUGAUCUCCCUCUGAGGUCUGGAACUAGUUGGGUCUUUCCUUGGCACCCUUAUUCAGCUCUCAGUGCACGUUCUAGAUGCAGCCUGUCCUCCGGCAGCAUUGGUGUCCCUUGGGGAGCAUCACCCACAAACGGCUUCUUUCCCUCCAUCUUGGUGACUUCUGGUUCUCUGUUCCUGGGGCGACUACAGAGGCCACCUCAGCUGUGGUCAGCCGAGCUCGUGGGAUGUCAGCUUCUGUGUUCACUGCUUGUCCCAGGCUUCAGUCUGCCCUGGAGAUGGGACCUCACUGGCAGGGAACCCCACCCUCAGCCACUCCUCUCCUCUCAGGUGUCCCCAGGUGUCAUUGCCAACCCCUUUGCAGCAGGCAUCAGCCACCGGAACAGCCUGGAGAGCAUCUCGUCCAUCGACCGGGAGCUGAGCCCUGAGGGCCCAAGCAAGGUCGGAACUCCUGUGGCUGGCAGCCAGGGCUGGGGACCUGAACUGCUGAUGCCUGACUUGUCUGCUCCCUCACAGGAGAAGGAACUGCCCAGUCAGACCCCACACUGGGGGCCUGAGGCUGUGGAGGCCACGGUGAGUCCCAUGGGGCCUGGCUCUGUGCUCUGGGCUGCAUCCUCCCCUGAAGCAGUGCAGUCCAUGCCCAGGCACACAGCCCAGCUAGCAGUGUCACUCUGCUCCCCAGGGCCAGAGGCUGGAGCCCCUGAAGCUGGACUACCGUGUCCUGGCUGCUCUGCCCGGCACUGGCAGUGUGCAGAGGGUCAGUGUCCCACGUGUGCUGAGUUGCACCCUCCUGACGCCUUGUCCAUCUGCCCACCAGCCUGUCAGCUCCCUCUUCACCUGGCCAGCCACUGCCAGGGGCUGAGUGCCGAGGCCACCAUGGAGGAGCCUCUGUGGGGUGGGGCACGGGCUGGGGUUGGAGGAGCCCAGCCGCGUCUUACCCUUUACUUCUUGACCUUAGUCACGCGUGGAGGGGGGUCCUUUGAAAGCCCCCGACCCCUUCCCUGCCUCAUCCUUACCAGUCAGCUGGGUAUGGGGAACUGAGUCCAGCCUGUGGCAGGCAGAAGGGCUCCUGAGGUAGAGGCAGCUGGAAGUCACCAGAGUCUCUCCAGGCUCCUGGUGGGGGAGGGCGGGCAUGAGCAGCCCUGGAAUGGGUGGGCAUGAGCAGCUGCAGAGUGUCCUGGGAGGCCAGGGUGAGUGGAGAAGGGCUUAGCAUUAACUGGGUGUGGCAUCCAGGGCACCGGGUCUGGGGACAGACAGGAAGGACAUUCAGCCCCCAUUCCUCCCCAGGAGGUAUAAAUAACACUGGUAGAGGGUGAGCCCAGUCAGCUGCUGCUGGGAGACCCCACAGGAGUGUGAGUGCUUCAGGGGCGGGUCGGGGAGGACGCUGCCGGAGCAGUGGGGGAGGCGCUGAGUGGCCUGGUGGGCCUGGGGACUGAAGGAGCCUGCUUGGGCUUUGGGUGUGGACCCUCCUGCUGCACAGAACCUGGAGAGGGCAGCAGGGGUGGGGCCUAGCACCCUCACAUUAGGAGGGGGCACAGUGGCUGGUGGACCGUGGGAGGACUCCCUGGCUCUCACUGCUGGGGUGUCCUGGGUUUGGGGGCCCCUCUGCACAGCUCUGGGCUGCAGCUGCUACUGUGAACUCACACUCAGCUAGCUGCUCAGCCCAGGCCCAAUCUCCUGCCUUCUUUUUAAAAAUAUUUUGAUUUUUUAGUGUACACAAUACCCAUGUUUUUUAUUUAUUUUUAUGUGGUGCUGAGGAUCGAACCUAGGACCUCGCACAUGCUAGGCGAAUGCCCAGACUCCUGCCUUCUGGCUGGGGCACACCCUUUGUGGUGGCCAAGCCUGUCCCGAUAUAUCCCUGGGGGUGUGGUUGGUCAGAGAAUUGAGUAGCAGCUUCUGUGCUGCCAGCAUGGGUGCGUGCUAGGGACCCCCAAAUCCUUUUACUUGGGGGACACAGUUCUGCCUAGCCCUCCCCCACCCACCAGCUGGUUCCUGCAGGUACCAUCUGGAACAACUGGAGGGAAGAUGGCGGAGGCCCCCUGCUCCCCUGGAGGCCAGCAGGUGAGCAUCUCUGCUGCCCCCUAGAGUGCUGUAGAUGGGUGCUGUGUGGAGCUGGCCUCCACAAGGGGAAUGCUUGUGCUCCUGGAGGGGAUCCAGCCCUCCCUGAACGUGGGCCAGCACCAAGGACCCACCGGUAUACUCACCCCUUGCCUGGGUCCCUCAUGCCCCCCCAUCCUGCUGCGAGAGGAGGGCCAGGCCUCGGGCACCCCUCAUCCUGCCCUGCAGGAUGGGGUGGGCACUUGGAGCCCAGCUGCCAGCCCAGUCCCCGGAGGCUGAGGCAUUCAGGUGCAUGUCCCCGCCCCUGCUGUCCAGCUUGCCUCCCUCCCUCUCUCCUCCUUUCUUGGACCCCUGAUCCUGUACUUCUCUGCCCCCUUCCCUGCCCUUUGCAGACAAAACCCGGGGUGAUCCAGCCUUUGGCUCAGGCCUGGCCAAGGGGCUCCCCGGCCCCCAGGGGCAGAGGUGAUCCCCGCUCCGUGAGUGUCCUAUCCCACAGGGGGUAGGGGGUGGCAGUUUCCUUCCCCUCUACGGGACAGGGCGAGGGGGGGAUCAGUGGCAGUCCGUGGAGACAGCUGGUGGCUGGUUGGGCGGUGGCUGCAGUGGACAGCUGCCCCCCACCCCGCCUCACGGGCACUCCGCCCCCAGACGCCCUCCCCGCCCUCCCCGGAGGAGCUGCCCGCCAACGUGAAGCAGGCCUACAGGGCCUUUGCCGCAGUGCCCGCCGCACACCCUCCCGAGGACUGCGCUGCCCAGGUAGGCGGGCGCCCUGCGGUGCGGGGCACUGAGUGCGGGUGGGUGCCCGCGGAGGAACUCUGGCCGAGUGUGAGGUCCACCUCCCCAGCCCCCCGCAGCCUCCCCGGAGCAGCUCUCCUUCCGCGAGCGGCAGAAGUACUUUGAAUCGGAGGUGCGGGUGCCCCAGGCCGAGGGGCCCCCCAAGCGCGUGUCCCUGGUGGGUGCCGACGACCUGCGGAAGAUGCAGGAGGAGGAAGGUGAGGAGGGCGGGAGGAGGGGCGGGGUGUGUGUGUGUGUGUGCCCGCCUGACCCACCCACCUCCCCGCAGCCCGCAAGCUGCAGCAGAAGAGGGCGCAGAUGCUGCGGGAGGAGGCCGCGACCGCGACCUCCGGGCCCAACAUUGGGCUCGCCCUGGACCUGGAGGCCCCUGAAGAGGAGCACCAGGAAGACGAGCCGCUCUGGGCCAGCCUGGGCGGGUGAGCUCCGCCCCCUCCCCCCCACCCUGCCCCGCUGUGCCCGCCCCCUCAACUGGCCUCCCUCUUCCCUAGGCCCAGCCCUGCAUCCCCGCUGCCCGCAGGAGGCAGCGCCCCUGUGCGAACAGCCAAAGCUGAGCGGCGCCACCAGGAGCGGCUGCGCAUGCAGAGCCCGGAGCUGGCGGCACCAGAGCGGGCCCUGUCCCCAGCGGAGCGCCGGGCCCAGGAAGCAGAGAAGCGGGCGCUGUGGAGGGCGGCCAGGUAAGUGGGUUCCCCCCCGCCCCGCGCCGCGCCCACUCCCUGGUCUCCGCCCACCCAUUGGUCUCCGCAGGAUGAAGUCUCUGGAGCAGGACGCUCUGCGCGCACAGAUGGUGCUCAGCAAGUCCCAGGAGGGCCGGAGCAAGCGAGGGCCCCUGGAGCGGCUGGCCGAGUCCCCCUCGCCCGCUCCCACCCCAUCGCCCACCCCCUUGGAAGGUCGGUGUGUCUGGUAGGAGGGGGGGGGGUUCUGCCAGCUAUGGGCCUUUCCCAAAGCCAGUGUCUUGUACCCCAGAUCUCGGCCUCCAGACCAGCACCACCCCGGGACGCCUGGUGAGCCACCCGCAGCUGUCUCCCCCCCUGCACCCCUGCGGCAUGGGGGCGGCGGUGCAGAUUCCCCCACACCGCCCUCACCUCUCUCCCUCGCACUUUCUGCCUCUUCCCCCUCACGCUGUCCUUUCAAGCCCUUGUCUGGAAAGAAGUUUGACUACAGGGCGUUCGCAGCCCUCCCUUCUUCCAGACCUGUCUAUGACAUCCAGGUACUGGCAGUCUCCUGGCCUUCUGCACGCGCAUGGGCCCAGUGCACGCUCCUGCCACUCCCCUGUGCCUGUCCCACCUGAGCUCUGUCCACCCCUGCUUUUUCCCUGCUCUUUCUCUGGUGUGGGGCCUCCCCCCUCCUCUUCCCUCCCGUCGCAGCCCAGCUGUGCUGUGCCCUCACCCAGGCUCUGUGGGCCUCAGAGCCAGGGGGACCGGCCAGGUCCACCAGGGUGGCUUCAGCCAGGUCUGGACCAGCCCUGACCAGCCCCUCUUCCCAUCACAGUCGCCAGAUUUUGUUGAGGAUCUGAGGUCCUUGGAACCAACUCCUAGCCCUGGUAAGUUGGUGCUGGGCUGGGGGUAAGCUCCCAGGGUGCCUGGUCACCCUGGGCUUACUUCCUGUCCUUGCCCCCGCCCCGCCCCCAGGCCCUCAGGAGGAGGAUGGAGAGGUGGCCCUGGUGCUCCUAGGCAGGCCCUCCCCCAGUUCCCUGGGCCCUGAAGAUGUGGCGCUGUGCAGCAGCCGUCGCCCCAUGCGGCCUGGGCGCCGGGGCCUGGGCCCUGUGCCCUCCUAGGGGGCAGGGCCUCCCCAGACUUGGGGUGGGGGCCUGCCAGCUCCAACACCACCCUUGCCCCAGUCUUUUAACCUGGGUGUUAGCAUUUUAAAGAGACCCCUCAGGGGCCUGGCCUGUGCCUGACUGCCCCACCCCAAGCGGGUUCUCUUGGCGAGACUGUAACUAGUGACGUUUGUACAACCAAAGACUCUAUUUUGUGGUUUAAGGAGAAUAAAAUUGACUACAUUUUAACCCCUA
rnacentral:lncRNA from 1 species